rnacentral:rRNA from 1 species
UACAGAGGGUGCAAGCGUUGUUCGGAAUUACUGGGCGUAAAGCGCGUGUAGGCUGCAAUGUAAGUCGAACGUGAAAGCCCUCAGCUUAACUGAGGAAGUGCGUUUUGAUACUGCAUCGCUUGAGUGUCGGAGGGGAUGGCGGAAUUCCCGGUGUAGAGGUGAAAUUCGUAGAUAUCGGGAGGAACACCUGUGGCGAAGGCGGCCAUCUGGACGACGACUGACGCUGAGACGCGAAAGCGUGGGUAGCAAACAGG